rnacentral:rRNA from 1 species
ACGACGCUGGCGGCGUGCCUAAUACAUGCAAGUCGAACGGUCUUUCUAUGGAAGCUUGCUUCCACUGAGAAGAUAGUGGCGAACGGGUGAGUAACACGUGGGUAACCUGCCCAUAAGAGGGGGGAGUAACAUCCGGAAACGGGUGCUAAUACCGCAUAGUUUUCUUGAUCGCAUGAUCGGGAAAGGAAAGACGGCCUUUGUGCUGUCGCUUAUGGAUGGACCCGCGGCGUAUUAGUUAGUUGGUGAGGUAACGGCUCACCAAGACGAUGAUACGUAGCCGACCUGAGAGGGUGAUCGGCCACAUUGGGACUGAGACACGGCCCAAACUCCUACGGGAGGCAGCAGUAGGGAAUCUUCCGCAAUGGACGAAAGUCUGACGGAGCAACGCCGCGUGAGUGAAAGAAGGUUUUCGGAUCGUAAAACUCUGUUGUCAGAGAAGAACAAGUUGGAGAGUAACUGCUCCAGCCUUGACGGUAUCUGACCAGAAAGCCACGGCUAACUACGUGCCAGCCGCCGC